UACGGGGGGAGCAAGCGUUGUUCGGAUUUACUGGGCGUAAAGGGCGCGUAGGCGGCACGGCAAGUCACUUGUGAAAUCUUUGGGCUUAACUCAAAGCGGCCAAGUGAGACUGCGCGAGCUAGAGUGCAGAAGGGGCAACUGGAAUUCUCGGUGUAGCGGUGAAAUGCGUAGAUAUCGAGAGGAACACCAGCGGCGAAGGCGGGUUGCUGGGCUGACACUGACGCUGAGGCGCGAAAGCUAGGGGAGCGAACGGG
rnacentral:rRNA from 1 species